rnacentral:rRNA from 1 species
CCUACGGGUGGCAGCAGUGGGGAAUAUUGGGCAAUGGAGGAAACUCUGACCCAGCAACGCCGCGUGAAUGAUGAAGGUUUUCGGAUUGUAAAGUUCUUUUAUCAGGGAAGAAGAAAGUGACGGUACCUUAGGAAUAAGCCGCGGCGAACUACGUGCCAGCAGCCGCGGUAAUACGUAGGCGGCGAGCGUUAUCCGGAAUGACUGGGCGUAAAGGGAGCGUAGGUGGUUUGGCAAGUUAGUAGAGAAACUCCAGGGCUCAACCUUGGAACUGCUACUGAAACUGUUGGGCUUGAGUGCAGGAGGGGCAAGCGGAAUUCCUAGUGUAGCGGUGGAAUGCGUAGAUAUUAGGAGGAACACCAGUGGCGAAGGCGGGUUGCUGGACUGUAACUGACGCUGAGGCACGAAAGCGUGGGGAGCAAACAGGAUUAGAUACCCGUGUAGUC